rnacentral:lncRNA from 1 species
AUUUCCUCGCGUUUUGCGCACAGCGCAAACCUGAUGACAGUUCAACAACUCCUAAAACAAAACCACGGGUCCUCCCCCAGCCCACCCUGAAGUUCAUGGCGGUGCUGCAGGCUGUGGCCAACAGCCCUCUGCUUCCCUGGCCCUGGUGCUGAAAUCCAGAAGGGGAAUGCACACCCAUGGGUUUCUGUAUGACCGUUCCCUCGCCUUGCUGACACGAGGAGAUCCUCAUUAAUCUGCAAUUGCGGCAGCGAUCGGGGUUGCAGGAUGUGGGGCUCAGGUGGGCAGAACACACUCCAGGGUGUUUAUAGCAGCUUUACCCAGCCCUGGAGCGCGUGAUGAGAUGAACUGCAGUGAGAGUGACCAUGUCCCAGAGGUGCCACAGCCACACAGUGCCAGUCCUGGUGGUCAGAGAUGUACGCUGCGAUGGUUCUGCUGCUCCUCCCUCUGCUCUGAGCUCGUCGGGCCAAGAGCCAGGUUAGUGCUGCUGUAUCUGCUCUGCGAAGUGCUAUCCCAAGGGAGGUGGGCUUGCAAAGACUGGAAUGCACGUGUGUGGUGCAGGCUCCACCUCUUUGCUGGGUAGAGCUGCUUUGCAACAGCCGUUCUCCCACCUCCUUACACUGCUGGGGCAAUUUGGGCCAAGACUGAGACACGACCAAGCGGCUGUAGAACCUGAGCUGCACAUUUGUUUUAUUCCCUAACGAUUCUUGGAGUUUGGGUUGGGGAAGGGUGGCCAUUUAACGUUAGCAAUGGAAUUGGCCUACAUGAGUGAGGUAACAGAAACGGCCAGAGGAGGUACCUCCCUGAGCCAUGUGCAAAUAUAACUCCUUCCGCAGAAGGAAGUCUUUUCCCUACUGAAGAAAAUAAGAAAACAAACAAAACACAUUCACUUAAAGGGCGUACAGACUGCAUCAAGGGAAGGCAAGCGGGGACAGCACCAGGCCAAGCCCAAGGAAGCUGUACCAGUGGGAACAUCCAGAACCCAACGUGACCGCAGUCUGCAGAGAUGCUGCAGAGGAAGGAGGAUGCACAUGCGAGCAAAGGGAUUUCUUGCCUCCAUAACCAGCAAGAGAAUGUCAGCUUGUGCCAAUUCGAGCUAGAGACCAACGGACACAUGAGACCUGCACCAUUUCUUGUGGGAACACACAGCUGACUCCUUCCUGCCAUCUAGGAGUGGACAUGUCCUGCUUCUGAACAAAGGUUCUCGACAAAGGUGGAGACUGAGUGCCUUGCAUGUCACCUACCCUACCGGGCUGGGUAAGAUGAGAAAGCAUUUAUUAAUUGCUUACUUGGGCACCCCCCAUCCCACCCAGUGCACAGUCCCUCUUUCCCUCAUGUGGCUGCUAAUGGGAAUCUGGAGAAAUGCCCUAGAAAGUAGUAAAAAUGCAUGCUGUUUUUUUUAAUGCAGGUCUGCCACCUGACUUGCUUAGGGAGCCAAUGCAGUGCUAUCUAGCUUAGGAGAGAUCCCAGUCACUACCUUACACUGUGGAUAACAGCCAGGUCUAUCCCACGCCCCUUGGCA